rnacentral:lncRNA from 1 species
GCGGCCAUGACCUUCUCUUCUGCAUCCCUAAUGGCGAGCACGACUCGGCUGCCGAUGAAGGCCUUUUCCCUCGGCUCGCCUAACUCCGCGUUCUUCGCCGGCGGCGGAGAGAGGGUGGCCCUCGCGCGGUCGACGCUUGCGUUCGGGCCCCAUCCCCGCCUCCGCCGCCACCGGGGCCUCGGGUGCCGCUGCAUGUUCGGCCUCGGGGUCCCGGAGCUCGUCGUGAUCGCAGGAGUCACCGCGCUCGUCUUCGGCCCGAAGAAACUCCCCGAG